rnacentral:rRNA from 1 species
AGUAGCGCGUGGGUAACCUGCCUCAUACAGGGGGAUAACAGUUGGAAACGACUGCUAAUACCGCAUAAGCGCACGGGAUUGCAUGAUCCAGUGUGAAAAACUCCGGUGGUAUGAGAUGGACCCGCGUCUGAUUAGCCAGUUGGCGGGGUAGCGGCCCACCAAAGCGACGAUCAGUAGCCGACCUGAGAGGGUGACCGGCCACAUUGGGACUGAGACACGGCCCAA